GACGUAGGGCGCGAGCGUUGUCCGGAUUUAUUGGGCGUAAAGAGCUUGUAGGCGGUCUGUCGCGUCUGCUGUGAAAAUCCGGGGCUCAACCCCGGACUUGCAGUGGGUACGGGCAGACUAGAGUGUGGUAGGGGAGACUGGAAUUCCUGGUGUAGCGGUGAAAUGCGCAGAUAUCAGGAGGAACACCGAUGGCGAAGGCAGGUCUCUGGGCCACUACUGACGCUG
rnacentral:rRNA from 1 species